ACACACACAGGCAGGCAGGCAGUCACAUACAGGCAGUCACACACACAUGCAGUCACACACACAGACAGACAGUCACACACACAGACAGUCACACAGACAGACAGUCUCACACACACAGGCAGUCACACACACGGGCAGUCACACAGACAGACAGUCACACAGACAGACAGUCACACACACAGACAGUCACACACAGGCAGGCAGUCACACACAGAGACAGUCACACACACACACAGAGACAGACAGUCACACACACACACACAAGGACAGGCAGUCACACAGACAGACAGUCACACACACACACAGACAGACAGUCACACAAACAGGC